UACGUAGGUGGCAAGCGUUGUCCGGAUUUACUGGGCGUAAAGAGCGCGCAGGCGGUCGGAUCAGUCGAAUGUGAAAGCCCCGGCUCAACUGGGGAGGUCAUUCGAUACUGUCCGACUCGAAGGCAGGAGAGGGAAGCGGAAUUCCCGGUGUAGUGGUGAAAUGCGUAGAUAUCGGGAGGAACACCUGUGGCGAAGGCGGCCCCUGGUUGGAUACUGACGCUGAGACGCGAAAGCGUGGGGAGCAAACAGG
rnacentral:rRNA from 1 species